CUUUUAUAAAAGUAAAUUUUCAUUUUAGAUAAGAACGGUCAAUACAACAUAAAUUAAUAAAUUAUCUAUUUGUGUUAACAACAACAUAUGGACAACAAAUUUUGACGCUUGACAUUUGAGGCAGUCGACCAGACAAUCGCUGCGUUCAUGCAACUAGCACCAUUUCCUUAGAAUUACCAUUCUCGUUUUCUACGGCCAAGUUUACACCAGCUGUUACGCUGACUUGCAUAUCACAUUUGUAGAACAUCUCCUGACCAUUCUAAUGUGUUUCUAUUACAAAUUAAAACUUAGCUGCAUCUAA